rnacentral:rRNA from 1 species
CAGUAGCCGCGGGAAUACGUAGGGGGCAAGCGUUAUCCGGAAUUACUGGGUGUAAAGGGAGCGUAGACGGUUAAACAAGUCUGAAGUGAAAUGCCGGGGCUCAACCCCGGAGCUGCUUUGGGAACUGUAGAACUGGAGUGUCGGAGGGGUAAGCGGAAUUCCCAGUGUAGCGGUGAAAUGCGUAGAUAUUGGGAGGAACACCGGCGGCGAAGGCGGCUUACUGGACGACAACUGACGUUGAGGCUCGAAGGCGUGGGUAGCAAACAGGAUUAGAUACCCCUGUAGUCCCUGUCUCUUAUAC